UACGAGGGGGGCAAGCGUUGUUCGGAUUCACUGGGCGUAAAGGGUGCGUAGGCGGUCGGGUAAGUCUGAUGUGAAAUCUCACAGCUUAACUGUGAAACUGCAUUGGAUACUAUCCGGCUAGUGGAAUGGAGGGGAGACUGGAAUACUUGGUGUAGCAGUGAAAUGCGUAGAUAUCAAGUGGAACACCAGUGGCGAAGGCGAGUCUCUGGACAUUUCCUGACGCUGAGGCACGAAAGCCAGGGGAGCAAACGGG
rnacentral:rRNA from 1 species